AUGAACGCUGGCGGCGUGCCUAAUACAUGCAAGUCGAGCGAACAGACGAGGAGCUUGCUCCUCUGACGUUAGCGGCGGACGGGUGAGUAACACGUGGAUAACCUACCUAUAAGCCUGGGAUAACUUCGGGAAACCGGAGCUAAUACCGGAUAAUAUAUUGAACCGCAUGGUUCAAUAGUGAAAGACGGUUUUGCUGUCACUUAUAGAUGGAUCCGCGCCGCAUUAGCUAGUUGGUAAGGUAACGGCUUACCAAGGCAACGAUGCGUAGCCGACCUGAGAGGGUGAUCGGCCACACUGGAACUGAGACACGGUCCAGACUCCGACGGGAGGCAGCAGUAGGGAAUAUUCCGCAAUGGGCGAAAGCCUGACGGAGCAACGCCGCGUGAGUGAUGAAGGUCUUCGGAUCGUAAAACUCUGUUAUUAGGGAAGAACAAAUGUGUAAGUAACUAUGCACGUAUUGACGGUACCUAAUCAGAAAGCCACGGCUAACUACGUG
rnacentral:rRNA from 1 species